rnacentral:lncRNA from 1 species
ACAAUAUCAAAAUUCGAAAUUUAUAAAAAUAAAUUAUUUUCCUAAAACAUUAAAUAAACAUUUUUUUAAAAUAAAACAUACUUAACGAUCAAUACAAUAAAGUAGUAUGAAAAUUGUAAUAGGCCCAAAUGGCCCAGGCCCCACAAAUAAUAAAACAAAUACAACAAUAAGCCCAAUACAAACCCCAGCCCCAAAACAUUGAAAGCAGAAACCUUAGCACCACUCAACCUAGCCGUAGCAGUCUCCAGCGAGUGCCCAGUCGCCGCAAGACUCAGAGAUGGCCCUCUCCACGCACGCCGUACACGUCUCCUACGAAUCUGCAACCGAUCACAAACAAUAGGUAGCAAAAUAUAGCAGGAAUCAAGGGAUUUAUUUGGUUUUAUUAUUAUUUCUCUAGGAUUCGGCUAUAAAACCGAAUGAUUAUAGUGUAAAAGGGGGGAGGAUUCAGUGUAAAAGAGAUACGAAAAUAGAGGGAAGGACUGAGAUUACAAAGAUUUUCUUUUUUUCGAAGGUGAAUCGGGACUUUUUUUUUUCUAUUCUUUCUAUUUUAUUUUAUUUUAUUUAUUUAUAAUAAAAAGGGAAAGAAUGAGAAAAGAUCUUACCUGGUGCCGUCGUGGUGUCCCCUCUCCGUCGCAAUCGGAGGCCGGGGUGUCGUCGGAGGCCAAGGGACGACCUAGUGGUGGCAGUGCAAAAAAAAAAAAAAGGUUCAAAAACCCUAAAAAGUUCUUAUAGAAAAAGAAAGAAUUGGAAACUUUCUUUUAGUUUUAAUUUUGUUUCUUUUAAAUUUUAAAAGCAAAGAUGAAAUGGUGCCGUUUGGGGAAAGGGGGAUCCGCGCGUCAGACCUUAAAUGGUCUAUUUGCGCAUUCUGUCCCCCUAUUCUAGCAGUGCAUUUAAAUUAAAUUUCUGAUUUCUUUUAAAUUUUCCCGCAUGUUUUAUUUUUGUUCCAUUUUGGCCCAUCGCUGUGCAGCGUUUUGGGAAUACGGGAAUAAUUUCCCUUUUGGUCCCCCACUAUUAUGCGCACAUUUAAGUUGGUCCUACCUUCCAAUUUAUUUCAAAUCUGCCCCACUUUUUUGUCUUUAAGCUCAAUUUAAUCCAUUUUUUAAGGAAAAACUAUUAUUUUAUUUAAUUAUUUUUUCUUAAAAAAAUAUUAUUAUUAUAUUAUGCUUUAUAGUUAUCAUUAUAUAUUUUCUAUACAUUCACAUUCACGUAUUUUACACAUAUGCAUAUUUAAUAUAUAUAUAAUUUGAGUUUUUUUUACAGGCAUACAUAUAUUUCUCUCGCACAUUUUUUUAUAUAGUUUUUUUAUUUUAACUUUCACAUGCCUUAUAUUUUAUACAUACUUACCCAAUUUUUAUUUUAUAUAUAUAUAUACAUAAAUUUUUAUUUUUAUUUUGUUUAUUUUCACAUGUACAUAUUUUUAUAUUUUUAUCCUAUUUUCAUAAAUUUCGCAUACAUAUAUAUACAUGCAUAUUUUCUUAGGAAUUAUAAUAGGUUUUUGUUUUGUUUUAUAUAUUUCAUUUAUUUUUUUAUUUUAUAUACGUAUACUUAUAUAUACCUGUUUUAAUAUAUGCUUAUACACGUUUUCAAAAUUUAUUUAUGUCUCAUACUUAUAUUUUGAAAAUACAUAUAUACAUAUAUUUUAAAUUAAAGUAUUUGUAUCAUAUUGUACAUUAACUUUUCAACAUACCCUUUUGAAAAUAUAUUUUGGUUUUAACCAUAUAUCAAAAUCAUUUUCUCUUGAUUCAAAGGUUUUUUUGAAUAAAAGUAAUAUUCGAAGUUUGAUAUUUUCAAGGAAAAUUGAGCCCUAACGUAUUGGGUUCUGAUUUUUUUUGUUAAUCUUAAAUAACCGAGGAUAUUCUUUAUUCAAAAUGCAUGAGUAUAAAAAUCAUUUUUGAGAACUUAACUUGUCGUGCCCUAACGUAUUGGGUGUGACAUGUUACUUUCUCGAAAUAAAGAUUUUCGCAUAAAAUAAAAGUGAUAUUCAAAGUUCGGGGAUUAUGAGGAAUUGUACCCUAACGUAUUGGGACUCGAUUUCUUUAUAUGACUUGAAUAAUUGAUUAUCCUUUUUCAAAUUUCAUCAUUCGAGUUGAUUUUAAAAUCUUUUUAACCUUCGACACUAAGACAUUAAAUGAUCAAUUUGGUACCGAUUUUGGGCGUUACGAGGGUGCUAACCCUUUCUCGUGCGUAACUGACUCCCGGACUCAUUUUCUCAAAAUUCGUAGACCAAAAUAGGGUGAGCCGAUCACACCUUAAUAAAGGAUCGAUGGCGACUCCAGUUUAAUUUUUAAAGUCGACAACUAAAUUUUGUUUUCAAAAAACCGGUUUCGACAGCUUGGCGACUCCACUGGGGACUUUAGAGAGUUGAGCCAUAAACUGAUUAUAUUUGUCUUUGUGUCGAAAAUCAAAAGUUUUUUAAAAAAAUUCAUGAGUUCCCUUCGCAUACAUUGAUUUUUCAUCUUGGAAAGUUGACAACUUUGCAUUUGCAUUUUGCAUUUCACCCUUAAGUGAGAGCGAGAAACUAGUCCUUCGUGAGGUUUUCACCUCCGUGCAAGGUAGUGGACCGCUUCCGGGAUACAUCCGUACCUAUGUCUUCGUGAGAUUUUCGUCUCCUUGCAGCCAUAGGGAAAUGUAUCCCCCUGAACUGAACUCGAUCCACAUGAGCCUGUAAUGAGUGAGGAUCAAAGAAUCUGUUGGUUCGGGUACCCUUACUCUAGAAACUAAGCCUCAUAUAGUGAGCUUUAGGAACUUGCCCUAGGUAGAGCUAUGCCAAACCCUAGUGGAUUCCUGAAUAAACGUUCUUGCUAUUUCAUGAUUGUAUUGGAUUAUAUAUUUUUGGUGUGAUACUAACUUGGGUUUAUUUUGUUUUGGCUGCAUGACAUCAUGACAGCAUUACAUUUGCAUAUUAGAAAAGAGAUGUUGAUUUGAGUUCGAUUACUAGAUUAGAAAGCUUCUUAUGGAAUACGGGUUUCUUGAUAAGGUGGAAGAUAAUACGAUGGUCCGAGGAAAGCAAGGCACGAAAAGCCUAACAAUGGGAGUAUACGACUUUGCUGCAUGACCUGAGGAUUCAAAUCGUCAAAUUUUAUUCAAAAGUCAUCAAAGGUCCCAAUCUCAUAAAGAAGCUAAUGAACGUGAGUGAGCAAGGAGUUACGACCUAGAUCAAACAAAAAGGAGUUCAAAUUCGCGAGAUACAUCUUAAUAUCCGAAUGGUCAAUGUCUUCGCUUGGAGUACGAGGGUGAAGCCGUAUAUAUAUAUCCGCUUUAUGUAAAGAGAUUUGUUUUCUAGUUAAACUUUCUAGUAAAGAAUUGAACAUGAAUCAACGUCUCUCUUGGCAUUCAUUUCAUGCAUUCGCAUUUCAUUACAUUAUAUGCAUUAGACACCUUUAAAUGAUCCUAAUGAACUAAAAUCAUUGCUCAGUUAACCUGGAAACCAACCAACCAACCAAACACCGUUACGACACUCGAGCAAAGAUUAAAGAUAUGGAUCAGAGAUUGGAAAAACUCGAACAGUGUCAGAAGGAGAUGCAGGACCGACUUUAGCUACAGGUGCAUGAGCGGUUAGAUAAGAUGCAACAGGAUAUGUCUGAGAAGAUGCGAGAAUCCCAAGAUGAUAUUAUGGCGAAGCUAACCAAAUUGUUGACUGGAGGAGGUGAUAAGGGAAAGGGUCCCAUGGCUGAUGUUGAAGUGGGUAAUGAACCACUCUAUCCUCCAGGCUUUACUCCUCCUGUUCGAACUCAAGCUGAAUAUCCGCACAAACCCACUGUCACAAUCAAGCCUCAGCAGUCCCAGGCCAGUGCUUUGAACUUUCAAGCUAGAUUGGGCUCUAACCCCGAAAACUACCCUGUUAACUCUGCCAUUCCUGACUUCGAUGAAAUGGCUGAAAAGGAAAGAAUAAAGGAGGAGUUACCAAGGCAGUUAGAGGAAAGGUGCAAAUGGCUAGAGGAGAAAUUCAAGGCGAUGGAAGACACUGAAAGCUAUCACGGGAUUAACGCCAAAGAGCUAAGCUUAGUUCCAGAUUUGGUACUCCCUCACAAGUUUAAGAUGCCGGAAUUCGAGAAGUACAAUUGGACAACUUGCCCAGAAGCUCAUAUCACCAUGUUCUGCAGACGAAUGGCUGGAUACGUUAACAAUGACCAGCUAUUAAUACAUUGUUUCCAGGAUAGCCUUUCAGGGGUAACAUCUAAAUGGUACAACCAAUUGAGUCGUACCACGAUUGGUUCAUGGAGGGACUUGGCACAAGCAUUCAUGAAACAGUAUAGUCAUGUGACAGACAUGGCUCAUGAUAGAAUUACCCUUCAAAACAUGGAGAAGAAGCCGAGCGAAAGCUUUAGGCAGUACGUACAAAGAUGGAGGGAAGUUGCAGUCCAAGUUCAACCACUGCUCUUAGAGAAAGAAAUGAUCAUGCUGUUUAUUAACACACUGAAGACACCGUUCAUUACGCAUAUGUUAGGGAGUACUACAAAAAGCUUUCCUGAUAUAGUUAUGAAUGGAGAGAUGAUCGAGAAUGCCAUAAGAAAUGAGAAGAUUGAGGCUGGAGAGAGUAACAAGAGAUCAGUCUCAAGGAGAAGAGAAAAUGAGGUGAACAACACAGGUUACUCUAAAUCAGUUACUGUAAGUCAUCCAGGAAAGGGGGUUGCUAGUCAACAAAGUUCAUUGAGACAGGAAUCUAGAGUGAAACCAGGUACUGAGAAGCUCCAGUUCACGCCAAUUCCAAUGUCGUAUAAGGAGCUGUACCAAAGCUUAUUCGAUGCACACGUUGUUUCUCCUUCCUACAUAAAACCCCCACAACCUUCGUAUCCCAAGUGGUAUGAUGUGAACGCACAAUGUGACUACCAUGUGGGAAUUACAGGGCACUCAAUCGAGAAUUGCAUUACCUUCAAAAAGCUAGUUGAAAAACUCAUCAACAUGGGUGUUGUCAAGCUUGAUGACUCAUCAAGUGCAAAAAAUCGGCUUCCCAAUCAUGAUUGACAAUAAGAUGGAUGCAAUAUAUGAAGAGGUGUUGGGGGUGUUCACAUCAGUGACAUAUACGAAGAAACAACUGAAGAAGGGACCUUGUCAGAUAUUCACCCUUGUAAACCUGGGAGUGUUCUAAAUAAUUGGACCACAGAAGAAACCCUGUAGUAUUAGAGUUUGUUAGAGUAAUGUUCAGAACACACUUGUUGCUUUUAGCCUAGAAGCAAUGAGAACUUCUUUGUGAAAUAUGCUCACGUCUGAACAUUAUUAUUUUAAUGAAAUACAUUAUUGUAAUCAUCUUUGAGCAAAUGUCCUUUCAUUCUUUACGAUUUUUUUUCAUUUUUCUGCCAAACCAUUCAUUCAUUCAUUCAUAUUAUUCAUACAUUCUUUUGUAUAUUCUUCGGUACCCGCUAUAGGUCCCCAAAUAUCAAUGACAUGAGUGAUGCUGCUAUAGACUCAGAAUCUCUUUUUGAGUGAGACAUGUGUUUAGAGGGAUCUCACAACUUUGAAGAUGACACGGAUUGUAGCUUAUCUCCAGACUUAUUGAAGAUGGUAGAAUAAGAGGAUAGACAGAUCCUACCUCACAAAGAAUCAUUAAAAGUUGUGAGCUUGGUGAAGAUUGGAAUUGAUAUGACUUCAAAGACAAAGCAAGCCAUUGUUGAGUUACUUCAAGAAUUCAAAGAUGUUUACGCAUGGUCAUACCAGGAUAUGCCUAGGUUAGGCACUGUCAUUGCAAUCUGAACAACAGCAUGAUAUCAGAAAUUUGCAGUAUGUUCAAGGUUAAUAUCAUGAAUGAUGCAGUGAAAACUCUACCGGAGCAGUGUACCUCUCUUUAAUUCAUCAUGGUUUUUUCUAUUGAAGUUCUUUCUCUCCGGGUAUUGGCUGAGCAAGUUGGAUGAAGCAGAACAUAUCCAAUCGCAAUGUGAUCAAUUGAACUUGAUAGAAGGAAGAAGACUAAAAGCUAUUCAUCACUGUCAGAUGUACCAGAAAUGAAUGAUGCGAGCUUAUAACAAAAGGUUCAUCCUAGAGAAUUCUACGAGGGUGACCAAAUGUUGAAGAUCUUCCCUCUACAAAAAAAACAUCUUGGAGGGAAGCGGAUGCCAAAUUAGGAUGAACCUUAUGAUUAUAAAGAAGGUUUUUUUUUCUUUCCAAAGGAGCUUUGAUUUUGAGCAAGAUGGAUGAUAAACUUGCAAAGUCCUAUAAACUCAGAUUCAGUCAGGAAAUACUCCGCUUAAAGAAGGAGAGGACCAAUGUGAAAACUCGCAAAGGGCAUUUUGAGUCCAAAAAAAAGAAAAAAGAAAAAGAAAUGAUGUGAAAAAAUGAAAAGAUGAAAAUAAAAAAAUGAAAAAUAAAAUGGAGAGGCUAAGGUGAAAACUCGCAAAGGGCGCCUUAGACCAAAGGGAAUUUGAGUUGAAAACCCGAAAAGGGUGGCUCAAAUAUUGAUCAGAAUGGGGCAUGAGAUUAUCAGAGUAGCUCAAAUACUGAUCAGAAUGGGGCAUGGAGUGGUAUUGCUAUACCUGAAUCAACAGGAAAGGGUUGGCGACAUCUUGGGGCAUCGACAAAGUACUAUAGAUCUCCUAAACACAUGUUAAACUCAGAAUGUUCUUCAGAGAGUCUGUACAGAGAAGUUCAAACUGCGAUAUCUGGGGCACCUAAUCCUUAUACCAUUUUUGUUACUCUUGGAACACUUCAUUCAUUGCCAAGAUAUACAUUCCUAAAUCAUUUUCUUUGUUAUCCAUCUUUAUUAUCUUUGAGAAUCUAUUCAUUUCAGAGCCAUGCUCUAAAUUAAUUCUAUUCCUACCCAUUGUUAUGAUCUCUUGCAAGCGUGUUGCAUUAGAAUAAUGAUGAAUGGACUAAUAUAACUUUCAGAAAGGAAGUUUUGCAUAUUACUCUAGAAAUUUCUAAAUAAUACGGUAAUCUGAAAUAAGACUAUUGUUUAGAACGCACCAGGUUGGAAAUCUGAUAAGGAAAAGUCUAAAUUCAGACUAUCCCUUUGAGUUUUUACUGUCUAAAACAUCGAUUGAACAAUACGGAAAGAUGUCGUAUUGGUGACAAAGCUUCAAUGAACAAGCAAGCAAUGAUCACUGAAUAAUGAGAAGAAGUUGUUCUUGGAUAAGAAAAUUCUUCAUUUAUGCAUGAGUAUUUGGUAUGACACCCUGGGAAUGGUGUAAGAGACCAAAGAGCUUUACACCCUAUGUUGGGAUAGCAGAUGAUUGAGAAAAGGCUAAAUCUUUUUACUCUUGGGUUACAACUGGAGAAAGAUGGUACAAAUUUUGCAUCCCAGUGGAUCAAACUUGGAAGUUUACAGUGGGGGCAAUCUGGUCAAGUGUUACUUUGGAGAUGCUAGCCGAGCAAGAAGGCGCUAUAGCACAUUAGCGGUGAAAUUUUAAAUAAACUUUGAGUAAUGAUAACCUAAGUGACAAGGAGGAAUCAUUCUCGAAAAAUGACAUUCUGCAUUCAUUCAAAUGUCAUUCAUACAUGUCUAGUUAGGAGCAUUUAAUUCAUUCUGUUCAUGACAUCCUAAUCAUUAGGCAUAAUUAGGCUCAUAAAGUGAAUUAUACAGGUUAUGUUCCACAGAGAACAGAUUGGUGAAGAUACAAACCUUGUCUCCCUAAGCAAUAGUGGAGCAGAUCAAAGAUGGCAGAUUUUACCUCUCUGUGGUUACAGUGGAGUACAUUGAAGCCGGUAAUUAUACUUCCCUGGGCAGUAGCGGAAUAGAUUGAAGAUUUCAGAUCUUGUCUCCCUAAGCAGUAGUGGAGCAGAUCAAAGAUGGCGGAUUUUACCUCCCUAUGGUUACAGUGGAGUACAUUGAAGCCAGUAAUUCUACUUUCCUGGGCAGCAGCGGAAUAGAUUGAAGAUUUCAGAUCUUGUCUCCCUAAGCAGUAGUGGAGCUGAUCGAAGAUAGCGGAUUUUACCUCACUGAGGUUACAAUGGAGUACAUUAAAGCCAGUAAUUCUAUCUUCCUGGGUAAUGGUGGAAUAGAUUGAAGAUUACAGAUCUUAUCUCCCUAAACAGUAGUGGAGCAGAUCAAAGAUGAUGUAUUUUACCUCCCUGAGGUUGCAGUGGAGUACAUUGAAGCCAGUAAUUCUAUCUCCCUGGGUAGCAGUGGAAUCCCUAAGCAAUAGUGGAGCAGAUCAAAAAUGGUGGAUUUUACCUCCCUGAGGUUGCAGUGGAGUAUAUUGAAGCCAGUAAUUCUAUUCCCCCGGUCGGUAGUGGAAUCGAUCGAAGAAAGCAGAUCUUGUCUUCAUGUAUUGGCAUUAAGUAGACCAAAGAGAGCAGAUCUUGUCUUCCCAUACUGGUGGUAAAAUACAUCGAAGAUACAAAUCUUAUCUCCCUGAAGUUGCAGUGGAGCAGACAGAAGUAACCAAUCCUGUCUCCUUGAAGUUGCAAUAGAGUGGACUAAAACCACAGAUCUCAUCUCUCUGAAGUUGCAGUGGAACAGACUAAAGAUAGCAAAUUUUGUUCUUUUGAGAAGCCACAAGGUACGAAUCCUAUCUCCCUGACAUUGCAGUGGAGUGGAUCGAAGCACUGGUUCCUAUACCUCUGAAGAUGCAGUAGGAAGGAAUGAGGCUACCUGAAGAAGAGAAGCACUGAAGAAGUCAAUGUUCAGUAUGACCGGGCGCAAUUGGGCCUUAUAGUCUUUGCUCUGUUCCCAUUUCACGACAACGAGCAAAGAGGGGCAGCUGUAAUAGGCCCAAAUGGCCCAGGCCCCACAAAUAAUAAAACAAAUACAACAAUAAGCCCAAUACAAACCCCAGCCCAAAAACAUUGAAAGCAGAAACCCUAGCACCACUCAACCUAGCCGCAGCAGCCUCCACGACUCCAGCAAGUGCCCAAUCGCCGCAAGACUCGGAGAUGGCCCUCUCCACGCACGCCGUACACGUCUCCUACGAAUCUGCAACAGAUCACAAACAAUAGGUAGCAAAAUAUAGUAGGAAUCAAGGGAUUUAUUUGGUUUUAUUAUUAUUUCUCUAGGAUUCGGCUAUAAAACCGAAUGAUGAUAGUGUAAAAGGGGGGAGGAUUCAGUGUAAAAGAGAUACGAAAAUAGAGGGAAGGACUGAGACUACAAAGAUUUUCUUUUUUUCGAAGGUGAAUCGGGACUUUUUUUUUUCUAUUCUUUCUAUUUUAUUUUAUUUUAUUUUAUUUAUUUAUAAUAAAAAGGGAAAGAAGGAGAAAGGAUCUUACCUGGUGCCGUCGUGGUGUCCCCUCUCCGUCGCAAUCGGAGGCCGGGGUGCCGUCGGAGGCCAAGGGACGACCUAGUGGUGGCAGUGCAAAAAAAAAAAAGGUUCAAAAACCCUAAAAAGUUCUUACAGAAAAAGAAAAAAUUGGA